AGCGAACGCUGGCGGCAGGCUUAACACAUGCAAGUCGAGCGGACCUUUCGGGGUCAGCGGCGGACGGGUGAGUAACGCGUGGGAACGUGCCUUCCGGUUCGGAAUAACCCUGGGAAACUAGGGCUAAUACCGGAUACGCCCUUAUGGGGAGAGGUUUACUGCCGGAAGAUCGGCCCGCGUCUGAUUAGCUAGUUGGUGGGGUAACGGCCUACCAAGGCGACGAUCAGUAGCUGGUCUGAGAGGAUGAUCAGCCACACUGGGACUGAGACACGGCCCAGACUCCUACGGGAGGCAGCAGUGGGGAAUAUUGGACAAUGGGCGCAAGCCUGAUCCAGCCAUGCCGCGUGAGUGAUGAAGGCCUUAGGGUUGUAAAGCUCUUUUAUCCGGGACGAUAAUGACGGUACCGGAGGAAUAAGCCCCGGCUAACUUCGUG
rnacentral:rRNA from 1 species